rnacentral:rRNA from 1 species
GACGUAGGGCGCGAGCGUUGUUCGGAAUUACUGGGCGUAAAGCGCGUGUAGGCGGCCACUGCAAGUCGGGUGUGAAAGCCCUGGGCUCAACCUAGGAAGUGCACUCGAAACUGCGGGGCUUGAAGUCUGGAGAGGAAGGCGGAAUUCUCGGUGUAGAGGUGAAGUUCGUAGAUAUCGAGAGGAACACCGGUGGCGAAGGCGGCCUUCUGGACAGCACUUGACGCUGAGACGCGAAAGCGUGGGGAGCAAACAGG